rnacentral:misc_RNA from 1 species
UACACGGAAGCUGUCUGCUAGCGAAAGGGGCGUGGCCUGUGUGGUAAAUGUAGGACGCAGGGGAUGUCCACAUAGUAAGUUUGAUAUGAGAUACCACAUGACACACCAAGAUAUCGGGACUUUCAUCAAAAGUAGACCUUCCCGUAGGGAAGCCUAUCCUGUCAGCUAACCCGUGUCGCCAUGGUGAUCCUGACGCUGUGCAGUAGUGUCCAGGCUCCGAUACAGUGUGCUCUCCGGCCCUCCAUGUGGGUCCCUGGGCUCAAGAGCCUUCACGUCCACCGAGAGAAAUGGAGGAUAGACCAGUCUGCCAUGGACUUUGUGGAGACAGUGAAGACAGGCCUUGCCACCAUGAUACAGGAGGACCAACUGGGAACGUUCUAUGAUGUACACAAGAUUGAGAAGAACUUUGUAAGAAUAUUUGCAUUUACCUGGGCAGAAUGGCUUGACAUUGUUGAAAUCAAACUAGUUGACAAUCAUGCAGAGGUGGUCUCAUUUUCCAGUGGGUUGCUUCCCUUGUCUAUUCCAUUUGCCUGCUUCAUAAAUGUUGCCCUCUUCUGGUUUCCAUUUUAUGGACACAAGUUCAACAUCACCAGACUGGAGAAACUACGUACCGCAAUGGGAGUCACCAUCAGUGUACAGGAUCAGUGAUGCCCUGCAAAUGUGGUUGAAGAAUAUAGACUGAUAACCAAGCUGUAAACAGUUACUAUCUUAAAGUAUCCUUAAAUGGGCCCCUUUCUAGAAUAUAGACUGAUAACCAAGCUGUAAACAGUUACUAUCAUAAAGUAUCCUUAAAUGGGCCCCUUUCUAGAAUAUAGACUCAUCACCAAGCUGUAAACAGUUACUAUCCUAAAGUAUCCUUAAAUGGGCCCCUUUCUAGAAUAAAGACUCAUCACCAAGCUGUAAACAUUUACUAUCCUAAAGUGUCCUUAAAUGGGCCCCUUUCUAGAAUAUAGACUCAUCACCAAGCUGUAAACAGUUACUAUCCUAAGGUAUCCUUAAAUGGGCCCCUUUCUAGAAUAUAGACUCAUCACCAAGCUCUAAACAGUAACUAUCUUAAAGUAUCCUUAAAUGAGCCCCUUUCUAGAAUAUAGACUCAUCACCAAGCUGUAAACAGUUACUAUCAUAAAGUAUCCUUAAAUGGGCCCCUUUCUAGAAUAUAGACUCAUCACCAAGCUGUAAACAGUUACUAUCCUAAAGUAUCCUUAAAUGGGCCCCUUUCUAGAAUAUAGACUCAUCACCAAGCUGUAAACAGUUACUAUCUUAAAGUAUCCUUAAAAGGGCCCCUUUCUAGAAUAUAGACUGAUAACCAAGCUGUAAACAGUUACUAUCUUAAAGUAUCCUUAAAUGGGCCCCUUUCUACAAUCUUUGUGUAAUGACUAGUGUAGAUCAGGGAAACAAUACAGUCCCUAUAACUGGGACAAUGUCAAAAUCCUCUCCAACAACCUCCAUGAUUUCACUAAAGGAAAACUAACACAAGCAAUCCACAUUCGCCCACACGCCAUCAAUCAACAGAGAUCAAGGCUAUUUCAUCCCAUCCGCCUACUAUGAACUCAUCAAGCAAUAAUCACUUAUCCUGUUUAAUUGGCUUCAUGUCCCAUUGGCUUCCACCUAUGUGUUCUUUGUCCAUCGCGUUGUGACAGUAUUAUCCCCUUGUUGUCAACACCUUGCCUAUGUUAUCCCAUUCAUAUAUGCAAUUGUUGUUACUGGUAAUCCUCAACUAUAUAUAUUCUGUACUAAGUCCCUCAUUCAGUCUUUCUUGACAAGGAUCUAUACCAAAACGUCGCUUUUUCAGUAUUAAAGAAGUUGUUAUCCAUAAAAAUUGUGUCUACCUUGUCAUCCGUCAACUUCUAAGUAAUGCCUAUCAAACAAUUUAAUACAUUGAUUGGUGAAGAACAAUGUGUAUCUGUGAUCAUAUGAGUAGGCGUAAAUAUGUGUAGGAGAUCUGAGGACCUAUGCUGGUCAUAAGAGGCGACUUAAUGGAUCGGGUAAUCAUGCUCUGUGACUUAUUUGAUGGUGUGUCAUCGUACCCCGAUGGCGUGGAUCGUUGCUCAUAAUAUCAAUCACUGGAGGGACUGGUCCAAAAAUGUAAAUUUACUGGCCGCUGUCAUAUAUAGCUUGAAUAUUUCUGAGUGUGGCUUUAAACAACAUAAACACACAUCUUAAUAAAUCUCUAUCCAAGCUUGAAUAUAUAUUUAUCUCAUUUCAAUCAUGUUUGUUUUAAAUAGCUGAUAGUUGAGAAUCUGUAGCUAUUUGAAGUGUGCUUUCAUGUAAUCUAGGCCUAUGAAAGAUUGUAGAAAUAUAAUUUACAAAAUGUCUAAAUCAUUCUUGUUUGUGAAUUUAACAAUGGUGUUUUUGUUGUGUUCUGUUAAUGCUGAUCAUUUAUUUCAGUUUACAGCUGAGCCUUGUCAAUGCUUGCCAAAUGCAGUUGUACUUUGUUGAUUGUACAGUAUUAAAAUUUCAGAUGCUUGUCAUACUUUGAAUUGAUGAAUUGACUGUGACCCAUAUAUGUUGUGAAUUAAAAUGUCUGGUUUAGCCCUGAAAACAUC